rnacentral:rRNA from 1 species
UAAAACCAGCUCUUCAAGUGGUCGGGAUAAUUAUUGGGCUUAAAGUGUCCGUAGCCGGUUUAGUAAGUUCCUGGUAAAAUCGGGUAGCUUAACUAUCUAUAUGCUAGGAAUACUACUAUACUAGAGGGCGGGAGAGGUCUGAGGUACUACAGGGGUAGGGGUGAAAUCUUAUAAUCCUUGUUGGACCACCAGUGGCGAAGGCGUCAGACUGGAACGCGCCUGACGGUGAGGGACGAAAGCCAGGGGAGCGAACCGGAUUAGAUACCCGGGUAGUCCUGGCCGUAAACGAUGCAUACUAGGUGAUGGCACGGCCAUGAGCCGUGUCAGUGCCGUAGGGAAACCGUUAAGUGUGCCGCCUGGGAAGUACGGUCGCAAGGCUA